rnacentral:rRNA from 1 species
AACGAACGCUGGCGGCAUGCCUAACACAUGCAAGUCGAACGAGACCUUCGGGUCUAGUGGCGCACGGGUGCGUAACGCGUGGGAACCUGCCCUUAGGUUUGGAAUAACUCCCCGAAAGGGGUGCUAAUACCGGAUAAUGUCUUCGGACCAAAGAUUUAUCGCCUUUGGAUGGGCCCGCGUUGGAUUAGCUAGUUGGUAGGGUAAAAGCCUACCAAGGCGACGAUCCAUAGCUGGUCUGAGAGGAUGAUCAGCCACACUGGGACUGAGACACGGCCCAGACUCCUACGGGAGGCAGCAGUGGCGAAUAUUGGACAAUGGGCGGAAGCAUGAUCCAGCAAUGCCGCGUGAGUGAUGAAGUCCUUAGGGUUGUAAAGCUCUUUUACCCGGGAUGAUAAUGACAGUACCGGGAGAAUAAGCUCCGGCUAACUCCGUG